AGAAGGUAAAAUAUUUUUAAAUGAGUCAGCUUAGAUAUCAUCUCUCAUGUAUUUUGCAUGCAAGAAAAUUUAAUUGAGAUCAGUUGACUUAGCUAAUAAAACUCUUUUAUUUCUGUGCUUGUCCGACAGUCUAAACAAGAUUCAAUGAUGAAUAAUGUAGCCCAGUCCUUUGUCACUCUGAGGCACCAUCCUUUCUUGAGACUGUUUUGACUGCGUGGAUGGUGACUCUG
rnacentral:lncRNA from 1 species